GGUCACUAGCUAUGCAAGGCCACAAGUUAUGCUAAGUCAACAGUUACGCUAUAGAUUACGUGACCUGUCACUGUACGAUUAACUGCUUUGUUUUACUCUUGUAAGUCCGCUUAUAAAAACCCUGCUCAGUCUUUGUUCAAUGCUCAGCUUUUUGGAUGUGAGUCCUCUGAGCCGGCCUCCGUGGCACUCAGUAAGCAGCGGGCUCAGGGAGAGCGUCCUGGAUGGUCACCAUGCAGAACCAAUUCCUUCCCCCUGUCUGGCUUGAGUCAACCCAGCCCUGGAGAUAGCAGUGCCAGCCUCGAGGACAGCAGCAAGUUUGGACCCGGCCGCUGCCUGCCCCCGACGAGGGUCCAUAGGAGAGGAGAGGCACCGUCUGCAGCGUGCAGAGGCAUCUGUGCGACAGUGCUUCUGUUCUAGGAAAUUCAAGUGAAGACAGAGUGCCUCUUGCUGUCCUUCAGUGCCAGCCAGCGCG
rnacentral:lncRNA from 1 species